AGCAGCCGCGGUAAUUCCAGCUCCAAUAGCGUAUAUUAAAGUUGUUGCAGUUAAAAAGCUCGUAGUUGAACUUCGGGAUUUACCCAUUGGUCAGGCUUAACUGUCUGUACUGGUGUGAUGAAUUCCUACCUUCUGAGGAAUCUCCAUGCCAUUCACUUGGUGUGGUGGGGAAUCAGGACUGUUACUUUGAAAAAUUAGAGUGUUUAAAGCAGGCUAACGUCUGAAUACAUUAGCAUGGAAUAAUAAAAUAGGACGGUUUGGUUCUAUUUUGUUGGUUUCUAGGAUCACCGUAAUGAUUAAUAGGGAUAGUUGGGGGCAUUAGUAUUCAAUUGUCAGAGGUGAAAUUCUUGGAUUUAUUGAAGACUAACUACUGCGAAAGCAUUUGCCAAGGAUGUUUUCAUUAAUCAAGAACGAAAGUUAGGGGAUCGAAGACGAUCAGAUACCGUCGUAGUCU
rnacentral:sRNA from 1 species